rnacentral:RNase_P_RNA from 1 species
GGAGUGGGCCAGGGGAUCGCUCCCGCCUACGCCAAGGCUUCGGCGGGCAAGCCCGCUUAUGCUGAUGGCGAAGACGAGGGAGGAAAGUCCGGGCUCCACAGGGCAGGGCGCUCGCUAACAGCGAGGCGGGGUGACCCGACGGAAAGUGCCACAGAAACGACACAGCCCUACUUCGCCAAGGCUAUGUAGGGUAACGGUGAAAUGGUGCGGUAAGAGCGCACCAGCGUGCUGGUGACAGUGCGGCUGGGCAAACCCCGCCUGGAGCAAGGCCGAAUAGGGGACCUAAACGCUGGCCCGGCGUGGCCCCGGGUAGACCGCUAGAGCGCGUGAGCAAUCACGCGCCCAGAUAGAUGAUCUCCCACGACAGAACCCGGCUUAUCGGCCCACUCCGCUU